rnacentral:rRNA from 1 species
AGCAGCUGCGGUAAUUCCAGCUCCAAUAGCGUAUAUUAAAGUUGUUGCAGUUAAAGAGCUCGUAGUUGAAUUUCGGGAUUUGUCAGUUGGUCGGGCUUCACUGUCCGUAUUGACUUGAUGGAUUCUUACCUUCUGAAUAACCAGCAUGCUAUUAAGUUAGUGCGUUGGGGAAGCAGAUCUAUUACCUUGAAAAAAUUAGAGUGCUUAAAGCGAGCUAGUGCUUGAAUAGAUUAGCAUGGAAUAAUAAAAUAGGACGGCAUGGUUCUAUUUUGUUGGUUUCUAGGAUCACCGUAAUGAUUAAUAGGGAUAGUUGGGGGCAUUAGUAUUCAAUUGUCAGAGGUGAAAUUCUUGGAUUUAUUGAAGACUAACUACUGCGAAAGCAUUUGCCAAGGAUGUUUUCAUUAAUCAAGAACGAAAGUUAGGGGAUCGAAGACGAUCAGAUACCGUCGUAGUCUUAACCAUAAACUAUGCCGACUAGGGAUCGGAUGAUGUUAAUUUUUUAAUGACUCAUUCGGCGCCU